GAGUUUGACUGGCUCGGACGAACGCUGGCGGUGCGCCUAACCACCAAGUCGAACGAGAGAUGAGGAGCUCGCUCUUCAAAUCGAGUGGCGAACGGGUGAGUAACGCGUGAGGAACCUGCCUCAAAGAGGGGGACAACAGUUGGAAACGACUGCUAAUACCGCAUAAGCCCACGGCUCGGCAUCGAGCAGAGGGAAAAGGAGCAAUCCGCUUUGAGAUGGCCUCGCGUCCGAUUAGCUAGUUGGUGAGGUAACGGCCCACCAAGGCGACGAUCGGUAGCCGGACUGAGAGGUUGAACGGCCACAUUGGGACUGAGACACGGCCCAGACUCCUACGGGAGGCAGCAGUGGGGAAUAUUGCACAAUGGGGGAAACCCUGAUGCAGCGACGCCGCGUGGAGGAAGAAGGUCUUCGGAUUGUAAACUCCUGUUGUUGAGGAAGAUAAUGACGGUACUCAACAAGGAAGUGACGGCUAACUACGUGCCAGCAGCCGCGGUAAAACGUAGGUCACAAGCGUUGUCCGGAAUUACUGGGUGUAAAGGGAGCGCAGGCGGGAGAACAAGUUGGAAGUGAAAUCCAUGGGCUCAACCCAUGAACUGCUUUCAAAACUGUUUUUCUUGAGUAGUGCAGAGGUAGGCGGAAUUCCCGGUGUAGCGGUGGAAUGCGUAGAUAUCGGGAGGAACACCAGUGGCGAAGGCGGCCUACUGGGCACCAACUGACGCUGAGGCUCGAAAGUGUGGGUAGCAAACAGGAUUAGAUACCCUGGUAGUCCACACCGUAAACGAUGAUUACUAGGUGUUGGAGGAUUGACCCC
rnacentral:rRNA from 1 species